rnacentral:lncRNA from 1 species
UUUUUUUUUUUUUUAAGAUUUUAUUUAUUCAUAACAGACAGAGAGGCAGAGACACAGGCAGAGGGAGAGGGAGAGAAGCAGGCUCCAUGCAGGGAGCCCGACGUGGGACUCAAUCCCGGGACCCCAGGAUCACAUCCCCGGCCGAUGGCGGGGCCAAACCGCUGGGCCACCGGGGCUGCCCCGAUCUGAGGUUUUCUUAAAGGAUGAACACCUAGGAAAUAAAUCGCUGAGAUAAUAAAAUGAGGUCUCACAACACAAAUCCAAAUAAUCACGAGUUCCGGCGAAUCGGGCCUCAAAUUCCGUAGUAGCAACAUUUGGCCAGAGCUGUGGGCAUCCCAGGCACGCACACCCCCAUUCUCUCGUGCACCCCAGCUUUACUGGAGUCUGACGUGCAGGCUUCAGACCCCUUUCCCGGGACAUGGCAAACCAAACCGUAAGGAGUCUAGGCGCACCUGUCGGGGGUCAGGGACACAGCGGGUCCAUGGAUGCAAAGAACUUAAUAUGGGGAAGUAGGUAUAAAAGCUCAAAUGGGACCAAUCACACUGACACCUCACGCCCUGGGCUUCUGCUCUAGGUCCUUACAGGUGGGAGCCAGGGCCUGGGGGACGGGGGUGGGGAGUUAGGGUCUGGUGGGGACACAGGUUCCAUUGUGAAGACCGAGAAAGUUCUGAAGACAGGUGGUGGCGGUGGCUGCACAACCAUGUGGAUGUACCCAAUGACCCCAGAUUGGACACUUAAACCCGGUCAAAUGGGAAGUCUGAUGCUGUGUGUAUUGGAAGGCGACGCUAAAUGAUUAUUUCUUUGAAGACCCAAUGGGGGAACAAUGAGGCAGCCAGAAGUAAACACGGUGUAGGGUGGAGCUGGUAUUAUGGGACCCAGAGGGAGCUGUUGGGAGCCUCGCAGGUGACACUGUGUAUGGCAAAAACAAAAGGAGGGGGGAGAGUCAGCUUCUCCCCUCCUCCUGGUGGUGCCCUCUCCCACCAGCGAGGACUCCGCAGCCUGAAGCCAGCAGGACCCCGACCCCCACCCCGACACACACACACCCGCCUUACAGGGCAAAGGGAGGGAGAGCACGGAGGGCUGGGAAGCAGGUGACCCCGGGUGCAGGGCGGUGGGGUGGGAAGGAGCACAUCCCGGGCCGAGCCACCUAGGCACCCAGGUUGAGAUGGGGGGGGGGGGUCUCGCAUGCCUUGGAGCCUCAGUUUCCCCAGCUGAAGCUGGGGCCAGGGCUAAUCCCCAGCUCCCAGGCUCAGAGCCCGUGGGGGGCCCUGCACAGGCCUGGAGAAGAAGGCCCGGAGCCAGGGGACUGUCAUGUUCGCUGUGUCCACAGGGUGGCACUUCCUUCCUUCCUUCCGCCCUUUGUCUUGGGAAGGUUCCAAAAUGCCUCUGGGGGUGAAGGCUGAACGGGCGCCCGGGAAGCGCGGGCCGGAGGCCGCUCGAUAAUUGGUUGAUUGACUGAUUCCAAGCUCAGCCGCGCGGCAAACGGGCCAAAUGAGCGUAAAUGGCCCGGCAAACCGAAGGGGCCUGGAGGUGACCCGGGAGCAGGCGGGGAGGGGGCAGGACGUGGUCCCCGUGUCCCCGCGGAGGGCGCCGCCCGCAGCCAGAGGGGCGGGCGCUUCUGGUCUCUGGCCUCGGCCGUUUGCUGCUCCAGAACGAGUGACCGGCUUCCUUCCUCGGGGCCCCCGCGGCGACACUGCAUGUGAGCCACAUGCAGGACUCAGAGCUUCAUGACAAGUGACAGCAAGCCGUUGGCGGGGAUGAACGUGGCUGCUCCCCAGCGCGGCCCCUGAGCACAGGGCAGUGUCAAGCGCCCAUUUCACAGAUGGGCAAGGGGAGGCUCGGGUGGCUGGGCUCAGCCCACACGGCUCGGGGAGGACCGAGAGGCCACCCCUUGCCUUCCCCUACAGGCCGCGAGGGGUGGGGGGCGUUCUUGGGGCUCGGACAGGGUCCCCUACCGGAAGGCCCCCGGCAGGACUCCAGGCCUGCACGCACCGCCAGCUCCCGGCCUGUGGGCUCAGCACCAGAGCACCGCGACGGAGCCGGUUCUGGGGGGCACAGGACUCUGCAGCUCGGGGCACUGUCACCCCCAAGGACAGGGUGGGGGGCUGGCAGUCCCCUGCGCCUUGGCUCUGAGGGCUCAGCAGCUCCGGCCAGGGCAGGGUGGGUGGCGCGAGGAAGCUGCUCCCCUGGGCUUGGUACCCCCAACUCUGUCCUCUGCUGCCCCCCACCCCCACCGGCGGCCCAAACCACAGCUGCCUGCGGUGAGUCAGGCUGGAGCCUGCGGGGCGAGCCCAGGUCCGGGGGGUGUGGGGGGGAGGGCUGCCCGCACCCUGCAGCUUCCCCAGCCAGCCCCCCUCCACUGUGGGGGGUCAGGACCUCCUUCGGGCCCCCCGGAAGUGAAUUCUCCGACGGCGGGGUGUGGGAGAGGCUGAGGGCCCCGACGGGGGGUGAGCCCUGGGCACACCAUCCACCCCCGAGCGGGGCAGCGGCCGGGGCGGGAGGGGUUGGAGGCGGGGCAGCCCUGGGACUCCUGGGUCUGGUCCAGCCUCCCCUCCAGGCGGCUCGGGUUUCAGCCCUGCUUCCUGCCCUGGUGGAGGGGCUCCCUCCUCCCCGAGCCCCGCCCUCCCAGGCCCAGCUGCUCUGCUCACCCUGGCCUCUGCUCCCACGCUGGGCCCGGGACGGAGUGGGGAGAGCUAGGGGGUUCACAGCAAGACCAGCCCCCUAGAAACGCGGGGCUAGAGCAGGGUGGCCUGCGCUCAAAGGUCGUCAUCAGACUCCCUUUUCCUGGGUCCCAACUCUGGGGUCCUGCCUGACAUCUGAAAUCCCCCGCGGAUCUUCUUGUGGACUGCAGGCCCAGUGUGAUCCAGCAACCACUCCCUCCUCCCAACCCUGCGUGAUCCAGCCCCUUGCCCCACAGUUCCUGCAGGCCUCUUUGCUACCUCUGAGCACUCACUUUGCACUGGCUGUUCCCUCUGCCUGGAUCACCACCUCCACACUUCCGUCUCCUAGGGGCUCAAGUCUGGGCUCCAGUGACACCUCCUCUCCAGGGCCUCCUACAGAGCCUCCCCCGACAGCAACAGCAUUGAUCACUAGCUGAAAGU